AGGGUUUGAUCAUGGCUCAGGAUGAACGCUGGCGGCGUGCUUAACACAUGCAAGUCGAGCGAAGCAUGGGAGCGGAAGUUUUCGGAUGGAAGCGCCCAUGACUGAGCGGCGGACGGGUGAGUAACGCGUGGGGAACCUGCCCCGUACCGGGGGAUAACAGCCGGAAACGGCUGCUAAUACCGCAUAAGCGCACAGGGCCGCAUGGCCCGGUGUGAAAAGCUCCGGCAGUACGGGAUGGCCCCGCGUCCGAUUAGGUAGUUGGUGGGGCAGCGGCCCACCAAGCCGACGAUCGGUAGCCGGCCUGAGAGGGCGGACGGCCACAUUGGGACUGAGACACGGCCCAA
rnacentral:rRNA from 1 species